AGCGAACGCUGGCGGCAGGCCUAACACAUGCAAGUCGAACGAACUCUUCGGAGUUAGUGGCGGACGGGUGAGUAACACGUGGGAACGUGCCUUUAGGUUCGGAAUAACUCAGGGAAACUUGUGCUAAUACCGAAUGUGCCCUUCGGGGGAAAGAUUUAUCGCCUUUAGAGCGGCCCGCGUCUGAUUAGCUAGUUGGUGAGGUAACGGCUCACCAAGGCGACGAUCAGUAGCUGGCCUGAGAGGAUGGCCAGCCACACUGGGACUGAGACACGGCCCAGACUCCUACGGGAGGCAGCAGUGAGGAAUCUUGCGCAAUGGGCGAAAGCCUGACGCAGCCAUGCCGCGUGAAUGAUGAAGGUCUUAGGAUUGUAAAAUUCUUUCACCGGGGACGAUAAUGACGGUACCCGGAGAAGAGGCCCCGGCUAACUUCGUGCCAGCCGCCGCAGUAA
rnacentral:rRNA from 1 species